UGAUACCACAAUUUCAUAACCACCCCAUUUUUCCGAUACUGCAGCAUAAGAUGUAACCCACGACACAUGAUAGCAUCGACAACACAUUUUUACGAAUAUUAAUUGUUGAUUUAAGCUUAGCAUUUAUUUAUAAUUUAAUAGUUAUUAAAUUAUUAUGAAUUUUUUUAUUUGAAGUAUGGUAAUAAAUCAGGUGAUAGAAAAGAAGGAAGCAAGUCACACAACGAAUCUGCAUUCCAUCUAAAGAUGAGUUGUCAAUCAACAAGAAGAAACCAGAUAAUAAAAAAAGCAUCUGUUGACGACCAAGACCUGCUGUUCAUCUGUGAAGAUCUGGCUCUGAUUGGAGGAGACUAGGAGUGCAGACAACAACACACUGAAAGAUGGCGUCAUGGAAACUCUGGCGUUGAGAGAACAGGGAAUCGUUCAACUUGCGGAACAAUUGUGUGAAAGCUGUGGUAACAAAGGCGCUGCUUGGCGCUGCUUCAAAUCUACCUCAAGUUUCAGCAAAACAUUGACAAGUACGAGGGUACAUUCAAGAUGCUAAUUUAUUAGUUAUAUCUGAGAUGAUGGGUAGAGGUUGGAAAGCUGUUGCCAGGAGUCUUGGAAUAACAGAAGCAGAAAUUGACGAUGUACUCUGUAGAUACAAAGUUUCAGAGACAGAUUGUGGAAACUACUUUAGAAAUGCUUAUCCGAUGGAGGAACAGACAAAGAACAAAUGUAAAUCAACUCACAAUAUUGAAGCCAGAAUUGAUUGAAAAUGAUAACAAGAUUGCUGCUAAUAUAUUAGACACAUACUACCAACAACAGUAGCAACUUGAAAGAACUUUAAUCAAUAAAUUAGAGUUGUACCUAUAGGAAAAGACAAGACGAACAACAAUGCAGUUAUCUGAGUCACAUCCAUGUUGUUUUUUGAAUGACUAUCAGAAAGAACAAAACAAUUUCAAUUAAGAUAUUGGGCUAUACUGAAAGCAGAGAAAAACUAAUCUUGCUGGAGUCCAAGAAAUUGGGAACACACCUUGUAUUUUGUUUACUACUGUAUAAAGAAUUGUCUCUGUGAAGUCAGCUAGCAUGGACAUCACCACGCACUAAUUAAAAAGUAGAUGUAUUAAUAAAACUCUUUAAACCAGAUCUUCAAGCAGACUUUUUGCUUUCAAUUUGGAAACCCUGUAAUGAAAUUAUGUAAAAUUACGUAAAAUGAGGACAAAUAAU